rnacentral:rRNA from 2 species
GGAUGCAAUCAUACCAGCACUAAAGCAUCGGAUCCCAUCAGAACUCCGAAGUUAAGCGUGCUUGGGCGAGAGUAGUACUAGGAUGGGUGACCUCCUGGGAAGUCCUCGUGUUGCAUUCC